UAGCGGCAGGCCUAAUACAUGCAAGUCGAACGAUAGAAGAGUGCUUGCAUUCUUCGAAAGUGGCGCACGGGUGCGUAACGCGUAUGCAACCUACCUUAAUCAGGGGGAUAGCCCGAAGAAAUUCGGAUUAACACCGCAUAAAAUCACAGUACAGCAUUGUACAAUGAUCAAAUAUUUAUAGGAUUAAGAUGGGCAUGCGUGACAUUAGUUAGUUGGCGGGGUAACGGCCCACCAAGACCACGAUGUCUAGGGGAUCUGAGAGGAUGACCCCCCACACUGGUACUGAGACACGGACCAGACUCCUACGGGAGGCAGCAGUAAGGAAUAUUGGUCAAUGGAGGCAACUCUGAACCAGCCAUGCCGCGUGCAGGAAGACAGCCCUCUGGGUCGUAAACUGCUUUUAUUCGGGAAUAAACCUCAUUACGUGUAAUGAGCUGAAUGUACCGAAGGAAUAAGGAUCGGCUAACUCCGUGCCAGCAGCCGCGGUAAUACGGAGGAUCCAAGCGUUAUCCGGAUUUAUUGGGUUUAAAGGGUGCGUAGGCGGCUUUUUAAGUCAGGGGUGAAAGACGGUAGCUCAACUAUCGCAGUGCCUUUGAUACUGAAGAGCUUGAAUGGACUAGAGGUAGGCGGAAUGUGACAAGUAGCGGUGAAAUGCAUAGAUAUGUCACAGAACACCGAUUGCGAAGGCAGCUUACUAUGGUUUAAUUGACGCUGAGGCACGAAAGCGUGGGGAUCAAACAGGAUUAGAUACCCUGGUAGUCCACGCCCUAAACGAUGAAUACUCGCUGUUAGCGAUACACAGUUAGCGGCUAAGCGAAAGCGUUAAGUAUUCCACCUGGGGAGUACGGUCGCAAGAUUGAAACUCAAAGGAAUUGACGGGGGGCCCGCACAGCGGAGGAGCAUGUGGUUUAAUUCGAUGAUACGCGAGGAANCUUACCCGGGCUUGAAAGUUAGUGAAUC
rnacentral:rRNA from 1 species